GACGAACGCUGGCGGCGUGCUUAACACAUGCAAGUCGAACGGAAAGGCCCUGCUUUUGUGGGGUGCUCGAGUGGCGAACGGGUGAGUAACACGUGAGUAACCUGCCCUUGACUUUGGGAUAACUUCAGGAAACUGGGGCUACUACCGGAUAGGAGCUCCUGCUGCAUGGAGGGGGUUGGAACGUUUCGGCUGGCGGGGAUGGACUCGCGGCUUACCAGCUUGUUGGUGGGGUAGUGGCUUACCAAGGCUUUGACGGGUAGCCGGCCUGAGAGGGGGGCCGGCCACAUUGGGACUGCGAUACGGCCCAGAGUCCUACGGGAGGCAGCAGUGGGAAAUAUUGCACAAUGGGCGGAAGCCUGAUGCAGCAACGCCGCGUGCGGGAUGACGGCCUUCGGGUUGUAAACCGCUUUCGCCUGUGACGAAGCGUGAGUGACGGUAAUGGGUAAAGAAGCACCGGCUAACUACGUG
rnacentral:rRNA from 1 species